rnacentral:rRNA from 1 species
UACGUAGGGUGCAAGCGUUAAUCGGAAUUACUGGGCGUAAAGCGUGCGCAGGCGGUUGUGCAAGGCAGGUGUGAAAUCCCCGGGCUUAACCUGGGAACUGCACUUGUGACUGCACAGCUGGAGUGCGGCAGAGGGGGAUGGAAUUCCGCGUGUAGCAGUGAAAUGCGUAGAUAUGCGGAGGAACACCGAUGGCGAAGGCAAUCCCUUGGGCCUGCACUGACGCUCAUGCACGAAAGCGUGGGGAGCAAACAGG